rnacentral:misc_RNA from 1 species
GCUAUAUAGACACGGAUUUGCACAGAUGCGCUUUAUAUUUUAUCGGUAGAUUUUAUGAAGUUUUUAAAAUUCGAUACUAGUACUCCAAAUUUAUAUACAUUCUUGGCAAAAGGGAAUACAAUUAACUCUUAAAAACUUGUAAGCACAAGAUGCGGUGGGCUUCAUAUUACGCCAUAUUUCUCGUCGUCUUGGAAACCCACGCUGCAGUCUGGGAAUGUAAACUUCCGGGAUUGUUUAAGGAGUGCUAUGACUUCUACUCACGGAUGGCCAGGGUACAAGACACGCCAGCUUACUCCAUUCAGAGCCGAUGUAUCAACUCCUACUUAUGGAAAACGUCAUUUGUACGUUACCACGUCAGUCUCAGCACGUCAGAUAUUAACUACAUCCGGUCCCUCCAGCGGGAAAUGGAAUCCAAGCGGCGCUACAAACGGUACAAGAGGCAGGCUGCGACACCUGUGGCUGUACGAAGGGAGUUCAGAACCCUAAGCGACGCAGAGAGGGAAGCUUUCUUCAAUGCCGUCAACGCUAUGAAGAACGAUGGGAGAUAUGAUGCCCUGGCAAAUAUGCACACAGGAAUCGCCCUACAGUCAGGCCAUGAGGGGCCGGGAUUUUUGGCGUGGCACAGAGAAUAUUUAACAGCAUUUGAGACAGCUUUGAGGCGCGUGGAUCCGUCAGUCAGUCUCCCAUACUGGGACUCAUCCAAAGACUUCGUUAUGGACGACCCCGCAUUAACUUCUUUCUUCUCCUCGGCACUGGUCGGAAACGGUGACGGAAUAGUCGUCAACGGGCCAUUUGCAGGCUGGCCAGCCCGACCGGACGGACAGAGACUGUCACGUGAUAUCGGCGUCAUUGGGUCCCUAUUCACGCCCGAGGGUCUCGAUUUGUUCCUGAACGACCCUACAGUGAAUCUGACGAGACAGAUUGUUUUGGGCACCAACGAAAUGCUAGCCAACACUCUGGAGGGACAGCACAAUAACGUACAUAACUGGGUAGGAGGAGACAUGUCCAGACUGAAUACAGCGGCUCAUGACCCCGUCUUCUUCAUGUACCACGCCCAUGUCGAUUAUGUGUGGGAGAGGUUCAGAGAGAAGCAAAUCGCCUUAGGCUCUGCAAAUCCGGAAGCUGAUUAUCCGAUCAUAAACUCACCACUGCAUCAGCCCGAUCGGGCCAUGGAUGGCUUCCCCAAUGUGACAAAUCUCGAAGGAUUCAGCAAUAGAUAUACCAGCGAAUUGUACACGUAUGCGAAUUCUCCGGAGUGCGCCGAUGGAUGUGGCGGAUCUCGGUUUCUGCGAUGCAGUACAACUAUAAAUAGAUGUGUUGCUCUGACGGCUGCAGAAGUCGGUGGCACCGCAGACACAAACCAAAAUCCAGUAGUGGACAUGGGCGACUUCCAGUUCUUUAACACGUUUAACGACCCCAGAACACGAUUUGCGCGUUCAACAGAACACACCAGACACAAGAGAGAUAAUGCUUACAUUCAAACUCUGCUUCCAAAGUACGCAUUAAACCUUUCCCACAAACCAACUUCACUAGCCAAUCCGUUCACAAAAUACGGUUUUAAUAAUCAUAAAACAACCAUAACACAUAAACCAAAGUACGCAUCUAAAACAGCUGUAAUCCAUGGCACGACCCCUGUGCUGGAGAGGGGUCGGCAGAAUUUAUUUUCAUUAGAUGGCGUUUGUGAUGUCUCAAGAUGGGCAUACAUCCCGGUGAAAAUUAUCAACGAAAGAGAUGUUUCUGGACCAAGUUUCAACAGUCCAAUUAUCGUUCGGGACCAGUUCAUACCUGGCGUAGACAUUUAUAACCCCCUCGUAUACACGGCGCUCAGGCCUCUUUUUUAUCAGACCAGAGGCCAAGUUGUGGCUAAGUUCCCGACAUGCAAGAACGUUAACUCUGGAGUGAAGAAAGUGUACAUCCGCUCUGACGGUCUGACCUACGACGGACAUUUCAAAGAACACGCUGUGAUGGACGAGAGACAACCGAUUUCAGAGACAACUGCCUAUGUGGCGGUGAAACAUCCUAAACUAGGACCAGGUAAGGCCAUUCUCACUGCCUACGAUUCCUCAGGACGAGUCUGUGAGCCUAAAUGCCUCAUCCCAGGAUCCUACCCGCCAUCCUACCGAACUUGUUCCGGGGUCAUCAAUAUUUCAAAUUUGCCGCCAAAAAUGUAUGGCGAUGACUAUGGACAAGCGGUUAGGAGUCAGUGGAACUUUGUACCCGGUGGGUGUCCCUCUCAACAGAGGAGCCCUAUCUACUUAGUCUUCUAUUGUUCACCGUCAGUACAGUGGCCAUGGAAGAAAUGUCUGACAUAAAAACGUAGUCAUUUAAUGCUUAAUUGACAACUCAUUAUUGGUCCUGGUGUUACAAGUUUGCAAAUAAUUUUCUUUUUCAAAUAAAAUGAUAAAGACAU